rnacentral:rRNA from 1 species
AUUGAACGCUGGCGGCCGGCCUAAAACAUGCAAGUCGAGCGAGCGGCGGACGGGGGAGUAAUGUAUGGGGACUGCCCGAUAGAGGGGGAUAACUACUGGAAACGGUGGCUAAUACCGCAUACUAUCGGAUAACCCAUAUGGGAUUAGCUAGUAGGUGGGGUAAAGGCUAAACUAGGAGACGAUCUCUAGCUGGUCUGAUGGGAUGAUCAGCAACACUGGGACUGAGACACGGCCCGGACGCCACCGGAGGCAGCAGUGGGGAAUAUUGCACAAUGGGCGCAAUCCUGAUGCAGCCAUGCCGCGUGUAUGAAGAAGGCCUUAGGGUUGUAAAGUACUUUCAGCGGGGAGGCGUUACCCGCAGAAGAAGCACCGGCUAACUCCGUGCCAGCAGCCGCGGUAAUUC